rnacentral:tRNA from 1 species
GUCGCGGUGGCCGAGUGGUUAAGGCGUUGGACUUGAAAUCCAAUGGGGUUUCCCCGCGCAGGUUCGAACCCUGCCCGCGACG